rnacentral:rRNA from 1 species
GACGAACGCUGGCGGCGUGCUUAACACAUGCAAGUCGAGCGGUAAGGCCCUUUCGGGGGUACACGAGCGGCGAACGGGUGAGUAACACGUGGGUGACCUGCCUUUAGCUCUGGGAUAAGCCUGGGAAACCGGGUCUAAUACCGGAUAUGACUCCGCGGCGCAUGUUGUGGGGUGGAAAGCCUUGUGCGGCUGGAGAUGGGCCCGCGGCCUAUCAGCUUGUUGGUGGGGUGAUGGCCUACCAAGGCGACGACGGGUAGCCGGCCUGAGAGGGCGACCGGCCACACUGGGACUGAGACACGGCCCAGACUCCUACGGGAGGCAGCAGUGGGGAAUCUUGCGCAAUGGGCGAAAGCCUGACGCAGCGACGCCGCGUGAGGGAUGACGGCCUGGUU